rnacentral:rRNA from 1 species
AUUGAACGCUGGCGGCAUGCCUUACACAUGCAAGUCGAACGGUAACAGGUUAAGCUGACGAGUGGCGAACGGGUGAGUAAUGUAUCGGAACGUGCCCAGUCGUGGGGGAUAACUGCUCGAAAGAGCAGCUAAUACCGCAUACGACCUGAGGGUGAAAGCGGGGGAUCGCACGACAUCGCGCGAUUGGAGCGGCCGAUAUCAGAUUAGGUAGUUGGUGGGGUAAAGGCCUACCAAGCCUACGAUCUGUAGCUGGUCUGCGAGGACGACCAGCCACGCUGGGGCUGGGGCGCGGCCCAGACUCCGACGGGCAGCAGCAGUGGGGAAUUUUGGACAAUGGACGCAAGGCUGAUCCAGCCAUGCCGCGUGCGGGAAGAAGGCCUUCGGGUUGUAAACCGCUUUUGUCAGGGAAGAAAAGGGUGUUUCUAAUAAAGACGCCUCAUGACGGUACCUGAAGAAUAAGCACCGGCUAACUACGUGCCAGCCGCCGCCGUAA